ensembl:lncRNA
AUGCUGACCCAAUUACCUUUUCUGUUGUUAAAAGUUUUGUUGUUAUUGUUUCAGGAAAACAACUCCCAUCUUAGAAGAAUUAAAUAUCAUCCUGGAAAAGUAAACGUUCACUUAGAUAAGGAAAAUGACUGCUGGAAGCACCACAGCAACACCAACACACAAGGUCUUCAUCUGUUGAGAGUGAAAGCUGUAUCAGCCAUAGAUUCCCUGCAAGCCACCAUAAGACCAUCAAAACCUAACCAUGAAGGUAGCAGUGCAUAUAACAUCUCAAAAACAGAUUGCUUGGACAAUAUUGCUUUCCUUUUUUUCCCACCAGAGCAGGAAGAAUCAAUCAGCUUGAUUUGACCAGAGUACCAAAGCACCUGGAUAAAUAAACUCUAUCUGAUUACUAAUAAUUAUCUUAAGAAAUGUCUCAGCAGUUAUCUUAGAAAUUAUUCAGUUCCACUUAAAUCUGUAAAAGCAACAGUCACUGCUUCUCUGCCUUCCACAGAAAACAACUGUCUGUUCUGCAAUGGAGACUUGUCCCAUUUUUUUUCUGAAAUGUACAAAUAAUUGGUGCAAAUAGGAGAAUUGUUUCUUUUCUGACCCUGUUUGUCCCUUACGAAACUACACGACUACUUAAAAUCGUAAGUAAAUACAGCUAGGAAUUUACCAUGAAGAAAAUCCAAAUGAAACUCUUUCCAGAUUCCAGCUAACUUCCCCUGCGCUUGAACAAAUCCCUUCAGUGGAUGAACCCCUGUGCAUCUGAAAGCUGCACUCAAACUCUCAAACACAGGAGGUAAACCAUAUGCAUUGCAUGCUUGCUUUAAUGAAAUGAUUGAUUUAUUGGUCACAAAUUCCUCAAAAGAAUUUGUUUUUAUUCCCUGGGUUCUUAUCAGGGAGCUCCCCGCAUCAGUCAAAAUCAUGACUGUCGUUCAGUACAGGACAGCACAAGUCAAAAGGCUUUCCCAGUGCUCCCCCAUUAGCAGGGAACCUUUCCCUACUGCUGGAGCACGUCCCCUGUUGGGGCACAGUUGUCCUCUCAUCCCAUAGCUGUUUCCUUCCUUGAAUAGGACGAGAGCCUUCCUAAUGGAGCUCGAGUGCAUUCAUGGCACAAUAGGUCAUUUCUGGCUCACUUGAUCUCUUUUCAGCUCACAGGACAAAAAGGGACAUGGUUACACCAUUUGCUUACAUUGGUAGGUAAAGAAAAUCUUAAAUGUCGCAUGAGUCACUUGCACUCAAUUAAUUUUUGCUUGUGUUAUUUAUUCAUGUUUAAGAUAUGACUUUUAUUCUAUAUGUGACCUUCAGCAAUGGAGCUGAUAACCAGAACAUUGCUUUGGAAAAAUGAAAGGUUAAACAUUAACCAGAAAAAUAGUUCUAAGACAAACAUUUUGAAUGUUUUCUUUCGUCGUAUUUGGAAGUAACUUGUCACUUCCCCUCUUACUGCCUGACGUGACUGUUGUGCUGCUGCUCCUGACAUAGAGAUUGGCAGAUGCAGUAGUCUCCAGGCUUUAUCACCAUGAGAUGGACUCUUCCCAGACUACUACAAAUCAGCCAGGUCUUGCAGCUGGCUGCAGGCUCUUGCUUAAUUAGCUUUGUGUUAAAAAUUGCUUUGUGUUAAAAAUUUCUGCUCUUCCUCACUUCUCAAGAGGCCAGCUGAGAGAACAGCCCCUAGCACCAUGCUCUGAGGUAGGACCUCAUCUCUGCUCCACGUUGUGCACCCUGCUUCCUGUGGGAAGGGAAGAAAUACAAAAGAUAAAGCAGGCUGGAAAUGGGGUGAAGCAUUGUCCAAGCUUCAGAGACACUGUAGGAGUUUGUAGCACUGAUUGAAGCAGAUGUCUUUUUUCUCUACAAUCCACAAGAUUCACUCAGGCAUAACCACUAUUCCCAAGAAUUUUAAAUUUAGUUUACAGUGUGAGUCAACCAUGGGGAAAUGUUCUUUGCAUCUUUAGUGGCAAAAAAAAAUGUCUUUGUAAUGUUAAAAAAAAGGACAGAAAAAAGAAAAUUGAUCUCUGCUUUGAAGUGCCUGAUUUAACCAUGAGCCAAUUUGACUUUUUUAUGUAUAGACAACCUUGUUGAGCUCCAACUAUGCUCCAAAGCUACUUCUGCUGUAAGGUAAUCUCCAUUCUCAGUUACUACAACAUUAAUCAUGAAAAAAAACAGUAAAUUGAUGAUGUUACUUCUGUCCCCGCCCAUUUUUAGAAUCCCAGAACAUGAAACAUUCAUAUCUUUUAUGCAGUAAAGCAGACUAAUUGCCUGUUGUUUGGUUAAUUUGAGUAGCAAAAAUAAACCACCAAAUGUAGAGAUGAAUGAAACAACUAAGAUAAAACCAAAGCCAAACAAACAUGGACAACAACAAACUAGGUGACUGGAAAAGGGUAACUCCUGCUUUAGGAGUCUUUCUGGGUGGUCGAGGCUCUGUUUCAGCACACAGCAGGCCAGGAUCCCGGGUGCAGGGCUGCUGGCCAAGCCAGGCAGCAGAGGCAUCCGCUGGCCCCAUCUCCUGCUGGCUCCCAUCCACCCUUCCUGCACGGCUGAUACCCCCAUGAUGUCCCAGGGUGUUCAACCUGCCCUUCUCCAGCAGAAAGACUGCUCUGCUGGCAGUGCUUCAGUCUGCCUGGGGAAAAAAAAAAUGAACAAAUGGAAUCAACAAAAGCAAUAAAAGCUAUAAUCAUCCGACAGAUAACCCAAGCAUCUUCAUUGAUUUUAGAUGGCACACUUGAAAUCAAAGCUCACUGUCACUUACAGUCCUUAAUCAAUCCACUAAAAAGGAUUGAUAAAACAGUGUUACUUGUUUGUAUAUCUCACUCUUAGCUCAGUCUGUAAAGAUCAAGUGAUGUGUUCUACUAAAGAAUGACACCAGGUUAUACUGUGCUGUAUGAACAGAGAUUUCCUUUCAUCAGUACUUAUUUU